GAGUUUGAUCAUGGCUCAGGAUGAACGCUAGCGGCAGGCUUAAUACAUGCAAGUCGAGGGGCAGCAUAGGUAGCAAUACUUGAUGGCGACCGGCAAACGGGUGCGGAACACGUACGCAACCUUCCUUUAAGUGGAGAAUAGCUUCCGGAAACGGAAAUUAAUACUCCGUAAUAUUAUGAUGUGGCAUCACUUUAUAAUUAUAGAUUUAUCGCUUAAAGAUGGGCGUGCGCCUGAUUAGGUAGUUGGCGGGGUAACGGCCCACCAAGCCUUCGAUCAGUAACUGGUGUGAGAGCACGACCAGUCACACGGGCACUGAGACACGGGCCCGACUCCUACGGGAGGCAGCAGUAAGGAUAUUGGUCAAUGGACGCAAGUCUGAACCAGCCAUGCCGCGUGGAGGAUGAAGGUCCUCUGGAUUGUAAACUUCUUUAUUUGGAAGAAAUGUGAUUAUUCUUUUUCUACUUGAC
rnacentral:rRNA from 1 species